UCCCCCCUCCAAUCAGUGAAACUGAUCUCUCCGUGAAGAAGCGGGGAUACAAAUAUAAGACGAGAAGACCCCAUGGAGCUUUAAACCCAACAGCACCCGUUUAUUUUCAUCCUCACAUAAGUUAGGUUAUGCCUGUUUGGUUUUAGGUUGGGGUGACCACGGAGUAUAAAACAACCUCCAUGAAAAAAAGGACCAAAAAUCCUUAUUAGAGAAAGACAUUUCUAAAAUUAAUAAAUUAAUUUUUAAUGAUCCGAUAUUCGAUCAACGAACCAAGUUACCCUGGGGAUAACAGCGCAAUCCACUUCAAGAGCUCCUAUCGACAAGUGGGUUUACGACCUCGAUGUUGGAUCAGGGUAUCCUAGUGGUGCAGCAGCUACUAACGGUUCGUUUGUUCAACGAUUAAAACCCU
rnacentral:rRNA from 1 species